UGGUUAAUUUGGAAAGAAAUGGGUGCUUAUACACUAUCCAUAUCCUGUACGUUCAACGGGUACCCAAUACCAACUGUGAUUCCAAUUAUUAGGAAGAGUCAAUGGGACGACUUUAAAGCGCAAAUUGACUCGAUGUAGGAGCCUGUUUUAUUUUCAAAAAUCCAUUAAACAAUAUAAUUUAUUGACGAGAGUAAUUUAAUGAAUAAAUCCUUAACAAAAUUUAAAGCUGUUCCAAAAAUGGAGCUAAGUGUAUUAUAGAUUUAAUUAUAUGUCCCUCAAAAUCUGUCCCUUUAAGUUAUAAACUGGUUGAGAGUAAAUACAAUGGUUGAGUAUGAACUAUGUAUACACGAAUCUUCGCUAACCAUUUAAAGGAACAGAAUCAAAUAAACAGUUUUAUUAAUAACUAUAAAUUUUCAUGUAUUUUGGCACAGCCAGCUUUGUAAUAGAAAGUAAUAAUAAUUAGAUAUUUAACCAA